ACAACUCUGUGUGCAAGUGAGAAAUGGGAAUACAUUUUUGUUGGAUAAAAACAGGACAAAAUCCGAAUGUAAGAUAGAAAGUUGUAGAAGGUUUAUGGAAAAGGAAUCUUCAGAAAUGAAUUUUAUAUACAGUCAGUACUGGCUACAAUUUAAUAUAAAAAUACAUUGAUGCAAAAAUAAAAUUGUUUUCAUGAAAAAAAUGGUUUUCUUGAACUACUGAUUUGUUCUUAAGAAAUUGUGUAAACAUGUUUUUCUUUACCUUUAAAGAAAACAAGAAUUCUGUGCUUUAUCAACAUAUUUUCCUAUGUCUAAGAUCUAAAUUUUGCUCAAAACUAUAACCUUCUGUAUUGGCUUUGGUAUCCUUUAUUGUCAGUUUGAUUAAAUGGAUAAUUAAAUCUGGUUUCAUAAUGAUAGGAUCCUAUCUUAUCAAAUGUCAAAAUCUUUUCAUGUUUGACCACAGUCUGAGAUACUCCUGAGAGCUCCUGGGACAUUUUAAAAUUUUUUGAGAAAUUAAACUAAUUAAGCUUAUUUGGUAUGUUAAAUUAUAUGGAAAGGUUUGUCAAAUAGGUGAUACUAAAUCCUCUUGUAAUUUGUACAUAAAUUGCAUUUAUGUAGUUAUGUUAUUAAAAUAAAUGUUCUAAAAAGAGUACAAAACUCCUAGAAGUCUGAUGUCCUUGUGUUAUUAUCUUGAAGUGUUGUAGGUUACAGAAGUAAGCAAAUUUCCUUGUCAAUUGCAUUGUGAUGAACCCUAAUGAGAUCUUUAACCAUGGCCAUUUGUAAGUCUUAUCAUUUACAGUUACUGUUUUACUGAGGCUAUUGCAAAUGUGUUAAACAAACUCUGAGAACAGGUUUCUCAUAACCUUAACGUCAUAAAAAUUGAACUGGAUAAGAAUUUCCAGAACUAGUGCAAAUACUGUGUUCAAACAGAACAAAAAUUAGUAACAUGGGAGUAAAAAAAAUGGAGAGGAUAAUUGUAAUUUGUGUGACUUUAUAAAAAAGUCAGCAAUAUUUUAAUCUGGAAAAUAUAGUCUUAAAAAAGUUUUCUUUUCAGCUAACUGAAUUUCCAGAAAUUUGAUUGUUCACACAGAUAUAUUCCAAUUGAAACAUUUAUCAUUUAUCCCUACCUGAUUUCAGAAUCCAGAAUUUUGAAACUGUCAGUGUUCUUAUAUUUUUAUGGCAAUAAAUUUGCAUAUGUUCACUAAGAAUCCCUUCUUCUUGUGACAGGAAACUACUGGAAAUACUGAUUAUAUUACCAAGGCUUUGACUGGAAUGGCAUGCUUGGGAGAAACAUGCAUAGGCUCAGAUAUGACCAGACAGCUUUCAAGAACUAAGCUGGAUUUUACGGAGCUAAUAAAGCCCCUGGGAAAUAUCAGCCUGAUACUUGCUUACAGAAUCCCCAGCAGCCUUACCAGCCCUCUUAUUUAAUAACUGAUUACUGGAACAAUAGGCCUAACUUUGAGAACAUACCUGCGUCAUCACUUCCUGAAAGAGUUUAAUUGAACUGAAUAUCAGGACUAAGACUGGUUCAUACAAGAUGAAACCAUCUACCAACUCAAACUUUAAGGUGUGCAUUUCGCUCUGUGAUGAAGGACACCAGCUUUCUAUGUAGGACACCCAUAUCAAGAUCACAGCAUUAGUUAUUCUUUAUUGUGAAAUACAACAGGAUAACUACUAAGCAUCUUGGACAUUUGCAAAUUUUAAGAAAUAGACACAGGUGAAUGGAUCAGGCUUCUACGUUUUUGCUCUUCUUGUACUAUGUUCAGAAAGGAAUCUGGGAAUCCUUGAGAGUUGGAUAAAACUGGCACAAAAAAUGGAAAAAAAAACACUGAAUGAAAUCUUUGGAAAAAAAACAAACCCUACAAAUCGACUCAAAGUAAAACCUUUCUUAGGUCUGAAAAAACCUCAGACAAGUUUAGAAGCAUUUUUAUGUACAGUGUCUUUAUCUUCCUGCUGACUUUCAGAAGUAAAAACAAAGACAGACAAAACCCACAAAAGACAAAAACACAAACAAAAUAAAACAAAAAACAACUCAACGAUAUGUUCUUAAAUGCACAAAAUGGUAAUUAGGCUUUCGAAUUGAAACUGGCUCUUCAUGUGGCCAGCAAGAGAACAGCGUGGCCAAAGUGGACAGUACAGCAGCCGGCAGCAUCUUUCCUGGUUAAUCAAUGUGAUGGACAGGUGGACAUAGAUGGAUUUUCCUUGAAAGUUGUUCCAGCCAAACUGGUUUUCAUAGAAAGGGCUCUAUUUUAAUCUUUGUUCCAAUAGAACCACUAUAUAUCAGAUAUAAUCUAAACUGUGUUAUUUGUAAUUCAUAUUGCUUCUUUAAACUUUUAGUUGAGCCGAGAUUGUUUCUGUCCACCAGAUUAAAACUUAUCAGGUCCCAAAAUGUUUAUGUUCACCGUACAGUAAUGCAGUUACUUUAAGAGAUAAGACAGCGUUCGUGCAAAAUGCAAAAAUAAUCAGUGUACGACAUUAAUUAGCAUUUUGAGUUUUAAUCCAGAGUAAGGGGCCCAGGCCUGU